rnacentral:rRNA from 1 species
AUUGAACGCUGGCGGCAUGCCUUACACAUGCAAGUCGAACGGCAGCAUGGGUGCUUGCACCUGAUGGCGAGUGGCGAACGGGUGAGUAAUGCAUCGGAACGUACCCGGAAGUGGGGGAUAACGUAGCGAAAGUUACGCUAAUACCGCAUAUUCUGUGAGCAGGAAAGUGGGGGAUCGCAAGACCUCGCGCUUCCGGAGCGGCCGAUGUCGGAUUAGCUAGUUGGCGGGGUAAAGGCCCACCAAGGCAACGAUCCGUAGCGGGUCUGAGAGGAUGAUCCGCCACACUGGGACUGAGACACGGCCCAGACUCCUCAGGGAGGCAGCAGUGGGGAAUUUUGGACAAUGGGGGCAACCCUGAUCCAGCCAUGCCGCGUGAGUGAAGAAGGCCUUCGGGUUGUAAAGCUCUUUCGGCCGGGAAGAAAUCGCACAGGUUAAUACCUUGUGUGGAUGACGGUACCGGAAUAAGAAGCACCGGCUAACUACGUGCCAGCCGCCGCCGUAACAC